UACGUAGGUGACAAGCGUUGUCCGGAUUUACUGGGCGUAAAGAGCGCGCAGGCGGUCGUUCAAGUCGAGUGUGAAAGCCCCCGGCUCAACUGGGGAGGGUCAUUCGAUACUGAUCGACUCGAAGGCAGGAGAGGGUAGUGGAAUUCCCGGUGUAGUGGUGAAAUGCGUAGAUAUCGGGAGGAAGACCAGUGGCGAAGGCGGGUCUCUGGACAGUUCCUGACGCUGAGGCACGAAGGUCAGGGGAGCAAACGGG
rnacentral:rRNA from 1 species